rnacentral:rRNA from 1 species
GACGAACGCUGGCGGCGUGCUUAACACAUGCAAGUCGAGCGAUGAAGCUCCUUCGGGAGUGGAUUAGCAGCGGACGGGUGAGUAACACGUGGGUAACCUGCCUCAUAGAGGGGAAUAGCCUUUCGAAAGGAAGAUUAAUACCGCAUAAGAUUGUAGCUUCGCAUGAGGCAGCAAUUAAAGGAGUAAUCCGCUAUGAGAUGGACCCGCGUCGCAUUAGCUAGUUGGUGAGGUAACGGCUCACCAAGGCGACGAUGCGUAGCCGACCUGAGAGGGUGAUCGGCCACAUUGGGACUGAGACACGGCCCAGACUCCUACGGGAGGCAGCAGUGGGGAAUAUUGCACAAUGGGGGAAACCCUGAUGCAGCAACGCCGCGUGAGUGAUGACGGUCUUCGGAUUGUAAAGCUCUGUCUUCAGGGACGAUAAUGACGGUACCUGAGGAGGAAGCCACGGCUAACUACGUGCCAGCCGCCGCAGUAA